ACUGGCGUACGAGGAUACCAAAAACAUCCGCGAAGUGCUCGUUGAGCGCGCCGGAUUGAUCGAAAUACGUCAGGUUGCUGGUAAAAGACUGUACCCCGUGUGUUAAUUCAUGACCGACAACGUCGAGUGAUUGCGUAAACCGUCGAAACAGUCUUCCAUCACCAUCGCCGUAGGCCAUUUGCUCUCCAUUCCAGAAGGCAUUGUUCAUCGGCACGAACCCCCCUGACUCAUCAUCGACUUCUCCGACGUGGACCGACGAAAUCAGCGUCAUCCCGUUGCCGUCCAGCGAAUUUCGCUCAAAUAGCUGAUUAUAAAAAUCGUAGGUGUCCCCCGAGAAAUCAAACGCCUCAUUUGUAGCGGCAUCGGCAAUUUUGGCUUGUCCCUCUGAACGAACCAGUUU
rnacentral:misc_RNA from 1 species